UUUUUUUUUUUUUUUUUUUGAGACAGAGUCUCACUCUAUUGUCCUAGCUGGAGUGCAGCGGUGUGAUCUCGGCUCACUGCAACCUCCACCUCCCAGGUUCAAGUGAUUCUCCUGCGUCAGUCUCCCGAGUAGCUGAGGUUACAGACGCCUGCCACCACGCCCACCUAAUUUUUGUAUUUUUAGUAGAGACAGGGUUUUGCCAUGUUGACCCAGCUGGUUUUGAACUCCUGACAUCAGGUGAUCCACCCACCUCGGUCUCCAAAAGUGCUGGAAUUACAGGCAUGAGCCACCGCACCUGACCAAGAUUGGCUUCUAGCACAGCAAGCACGGAACCCUUUUGUUCAGUAAUACUCCCAUUUUUCAGAUGAGAAAAUAGAGGCAUAGAGAUUUCAGGUUGCUGGAUGUAGAGACAAGAACUGAGCCAGGAAUACAGGACCCUCUGUAUACACACCAACCUCCUCACCUGCCCCGGGACGGGAUGCUUGAAAGGAAUGACGUGCUUAAAUAUUUCAAUUCAGGUGCACAUGAAGAGACAAUGGUCAGAGCUGGUUCAGGCCUGGGUUUUCCUCCUGCAAUAUUCCUCACCCUGCCCCUGGCCCAUCUCCCACACUCCCCACACCCUUCUUCCACAGGGGUCAGAUAACUACAACCCAUGGGCCAGAUCUGGGCUGCCUUCUGUUUUUGUAAAUAAAGUUUUAUUCAAACACAGCUACCCUCAUUUGUUUAGAUAUUUUCUACGACUGCUUUCCUGCAAACAAGAUUUUACAGCCCCAAAUAUCUACAAUAUUAUCUGGCCUUUUAUAGAGAAAUUUUGCAGAUUGCUUCUUGAUCUAGAAUUGCUGAUUUUUUGGUAUGAAUACGCUGCUUCACGCCUCUAGAUCUUCGCUCUGGCGGGUCCCUCAGCCUUGAAACACCUUUCUGAACUGUAUUAGAUUGCCUGAGCUGCUAUAACAAAAUGCCAGAUCGGGUGGCUCGGAAAACAGAAACGUAUUGUCUGGCAGCUCUGGAGACUGGAAGUCCAAGGUGAAGUUGUCAGCAGGUUUGGCUCUUUGGGGGCCUCUCUCCUUCGUUUGCAGACGGCUACCUCUGGCUGUGUGCCCACAUGGCCUUUUUUCUGGGUGUGCACCUCCCGGCUGUCUCUUUGUGAGUUCAAUCUCCUCUUCUUACAAGGACACUAGUCAGAUUAGACUAGGGCCCAUCCUAACAGCCUCAUUUUACAUUUUAUCUUAAUCACCUCUUUAAAUCUCCAA
rnacentral:lncRNA from 1 species